rnacentral:misc_RNA from 1 species
UUCGGAAAAGAUGGGACUGAGAUUACAAUGAGGGAUAUAACAAACGAUACUAAAGGGUCUCAGUUGGACCCAUCAGAGAGUACCUUUCUGGGCUUGGAUGAUAAUAGGUUAUGUCAAUGGGAUAUGAGAGAUAAGAAUAAGAGAGGGAUUGUGCAGAGUAUUGGUGGUGAAUCGCCAGUUUUGCAUUGGAGUCAGGGGCAUCA